rnacentral:rRNA from 1 species
GAGUUUGAUCCUGGCUCAGACGAACGCUGGCGGCGUGCUUAACACAUGCAAGUCGAACGAGAUCCACGCAGUCGCAAGACUGCCGAAGAUCUAGUGGCGAACGGGUGCGUAACACGUGAGGAACCUAUCCCAGUCUCUGGAAUAACAGAUGGAAACGCCUGCUAAUACCGGAUGCCGUUGGAAUGCCGCGUGGCAAACCAACGAAAGAUUUAUCGGAUUGGGAGGGCCUCGCGGCCUAUCAGCUUGUUGGCGAGGUAACGGCUCACCAAGGCAUCGACGGGUAGCUGGUCUGAGAAGGAUGAUCA